CAUGCAAGUCGAACGAGACGAUUGAAAGCUUGCUUUUGAGAGUCGAGUGGCAAACGGGUGAGUAACGCGUAGACAACCUGCCGUAAAGAUGGGGACAACAGUUCGAAAGGACUGCUAAUACCGAAUGUUGUAGAGUUUCCGCAUGGGGAUCCUACUAAAGGUGGCCUCUACUUGUAAGCUAUCGCUUUACGAUGGGUCUGCGUCUGAUUAGCUAGUUGGUGGGGUAACGGCCUACCAAGGCGACGAUCAGUAGCCGGUCUGAGAGGAUGAACGGCCACAUUGGAACUGAGACACGGUCCAGACUCCUACGGGAGGCAGCAGUGGGGAAUCUUCCGCAAUGGGCGCAAGCCUGACGGAGCAACGCCGCGUGAGUGAAGAAGGGUUUCGACUCGUAAAGCUCUGUUGUCGGGGACGAAUGUGGAGAUGGUGAAUAACCAUUUUCAAUGACGGUACCUGACGAGGAAGCCACGGCUAACUACGUGCCAGCAGCCGCGGUAAUACGUAGGUGGCGAGCGUUGUCCGGAAUUAUUGGGCGUAAAGGGAGCGCAGGCGGGAAGGUAAGUCUAUCUUAAAAGUGCGGGGCUCAACCCCGUGAGGGGAUGGAAACUAUCUUUCUUGAGUGCAGGAGAGGAAAGCGGAAUUCCUAGUGUAGCGGUGAAAUGCGUAGAUAUUAGGAGGAACACCAGUGGCGAAGGCGGCUUUCUGGACUGUAACUGACGCUGAGGCUCGAAAGCGUGGGGAGCGAACAGGAUUAGAUACCCUGGUAGUCCACGCCGUAAACGAUGAAUGCUAGGUGUAGGAGAUAUCGACCCCUCCUGUGCCG
rnacentral:rRNA from 1 species